rnacentral:lncRNA from 1 species
CGAAGGGAAGCCCCUUCCCGCGCGGGGCCGGAGCCCAAAGAUUUCAUAGACAUUAGGGCUGGAAGGGACCUCGGGAGAUCAUCGAGUCCAGCCCCCUGCCCAAAGGGCAGGAUUAAACUGAAAUGCUUUCCUUUGUUCAGCCCUCAUGGCUACAGUGAAAGUUGACAUGUGAUCUGAGGCCAGCACCUGAAGUGAUGCCGGGUUGCACCCAAAAGAGGA